UACGUAGGGUGCGAGCGUUAAUCGGAUUUACUGGGCGUAAAGCGUGCGCAGGCGGCCCGUUAAGACAGGUGUGAAAUCCCUGGGCUCAACCUGGGAACCGCAUUUCGAACUGGCAAACUAGAGUCUUGUAGAGGGGGGUAGAAUUCCAGGUGUAGCGGUGAAAUGCGUAGAUAUAUGGAGGAACACCGGUGGCGAAAGCGGCUCUCUGGACUGUAACUGACACUGAGGCUCGAAAGCGUGGGGAGCAAACAGG
rnacentral:rRNA from 1 species